AGCCCUCUCACUCUCUCCCUAGAGGUGGAGGAAGACCUGGGCCGUGCUCUACCCGGCCAGUCCCCACGGCGUAGCUCGGCUCGAGUUCUUUGACCAUAAGGGGUCGAGCUCUGGGGGUGGCCGAGGGAGCUCGCGCCGCCUGGACUGCAAGGUGAUCCGUCUGGCUGAGUGUGUGAGUGUGGCCCCUGUCACCGUGGAGACCCCCCCUGAGCCCGGCGCCACUGCAUUCCGCCUGGACACUGCUCAGCGCUCGCACCUGCUGGCGGCCGACGCGCCGUCCAGUGCAGCCUGGGUGCAGACGCUGUGCCGAAACGCCUUUCCGAAAGGCAGUUGGACUCUGGCUUCUACUGAUAACCCACCUAAGCUUUCUGCCCUGGAGAUGCUGGAGAACUCCUUGUACAGCCCUACCUGGGAAGGAUCCCAAUUCUGGGUAACGGUGCAGAGGACUGAGGCCGCCGAGCGCUGUGGCCUGCAUGGCUCCUACGUGCUGAGGGUGGAGGCUGAGAGGCUGACUCUCCUGACCGUGGGGGCCCAGAGUCAGAUACUGGAGCCACUCCUGUCCUGGCCCUACACUCUGUUGCGUCGCUAUGGCCGGGACAAGGUCAUGUUCUCUUUUGAGGCCGGCCGCCGCUGCCCCUCAGGCCCUGGAACCUUCACCUUCCAGACGGCACAGGGAAAUGACAUCUUCCAGGCAGUUGAGACUGCCAUCCACCGGCAGAAGGCCCAGGGAAAGGCCGGACAGGGGCACGAUGUUCUCAGAGCUGACUCCCAUGAAGGGGAGGUGGCAGAGGGGAAGUUGCCUUCCACACCUGGCCCCCAAGAGCUCCUCGACAGUCCCCCAGCCCUGUAUGCUGAGCCCUUAGACUCCCUGCGCAUUGCUCCAUGCCCUUCCCAGGAUUCCCUAUACUCAGACCCCUUGGACAGCACCCCUGCUCGGGCAGGAGAGGGAGUACAACGGAAGAAACCUCUCUAUUGGGACUUGUAUGCGCAUGCGCAGCAGCAGUUGCUGAAGGCCAAGCUGACGGACCCCAAAGAGGACCCCAUCUAUGAUGAACCUGAGGGCCUGGCCCCAGUCCCUCCCCAGAGCCUUUAUGAUCUGCCUCGGGAGCCCAAGGAUGCAUGGUGGUGCCAAGCUCGGGUGAAGGAGGAGGGCUAUGAGCUCCCCUACAACCCUGCCACUGAUGACUACGCUGUGCCACCCCCUCGGAGCACAAAGCCCCUCCUUGCUCCCAAGCCCCAGGGCCCAGCCUUCCCUGAACCUGGUACUGCAACUGGCAGUGGCAUCAAAAGCCACAACUCAGCCCUGUACAGCCAGGUUCAGAAGAGCGGGGCCUCAGGGAGCUGGGACUGUGGGCUCUCUAGAGUAGGGACUGACAAGACUGGGGUCAAGUCAGAGGGCUCUACCUGAGAAGGAGGGCAAGGCUGAGGUGGCUAAGGAGGACCAUGGGGAGGUGGCACUAGGGAUCAAAGAAAAUGGUUAGAACCAGCAGAAGUCAGAGCGUGGGAGGGGCCAUGCUGUGUGAGACCAGGGGACCAGAGGGAUAGGAGAGUCAAGGGAAGGACAAUCCCAGGAAGUCCUAAGAAGUGGGGCAGAUGGCAGGGCUGAGGGAUGGGCUCUGCAUCCUCCUAGACCCAUCCCUUCCCCACUUCCCCAAAGGAAGGGACAGCCGUGGGACCAGGUCUGUGGAAAGUGGUGCAUGGUCAGAAUGGGUGCAGUUUGAGGGGCCUGUGUGGAGGCCUCAGGGAGAUGUUGGACUGUGUCUGGAUCCUUACUCCUGCAUUGUUCUUUGCCAGAGACCUAUUUAAAAA
rnacentral:sRNA from 1 species